AAAAGAAUAGCAUCCUGACUCUUACACAAAUGCAUUCAACUGUCAGGAAAAACUACUUAGGAUAUAUUAAAAAAUAGAAAAUGUAAAAAAAAAAAAACAAGUAAAGUAGUUAUUGAGGUCAGCCUCAGGGUCACAGCUUCCUCUUGUGAAGUUCACAUAUUGUACACUUACAUCACGGGUGCCCAAAUAUGUAAAUAGAACCAAAUAGCCUUCUAAAGAGGCAAAGGCGGAAAGCUUGUAAAAUCUUUACUUCAUGUCACCACACACUGCAGACAGCUUUGCCCUCCAUCUCUGGAAAGCACUGCAUCUUACUAAAACAAAUCUGAAAAUUCUCGGUUACUGUUGGCUCCUGGUCCAGCAUCUCUUCCCCUGUGUGUCUAAAGACACUUCCCCCAUAAGUCUGAAAAAAGGCACAAGCCACCAGCUUCUCCCAGGAAACACUCCUCCCUUCAGUCAAGCGUCAGUGUGGGGACAGACACUGCCCCUGCCCCUGCCUGUCUUUGCAGGACUGGCAGAUCACAGGUGAUGAAAGCAGUGGGGGAUCAGCGGGGACAUCCAACCUGCCACCUAACCCAGCGGCCUUAGUUCAUUCCAUGUUCAGCACAGCUUCCUUCCGGUUUCCUGCUUUGCUUUGGGGUAUUGCACAGGUUUCCUGGAUUGUCCCUCUCCCUUCUCACCCAAAUAGGGUCUGCAUGAAUAGGAAGAUCUGGUGCCUGCACCCCUGGGACUAUGAC
rnacentral:lncRNA from 1 species